AUGAAAUGCAUCAGUAGGGGAGCGUUCCGCCUUAGAGGGAAGCAACCGCGAAAGCGGGGGUCGACGAAGCGGAAGCGAGAAUGUCGGCUUGAGUAACGAAAACAUUGGUGAGAAUCCAGUGCCGCGAAAACCCAAGGUUUCCUCCGCAAGGUGAUCGGAAGAGCCUCG